rnacentral:rRNA from 1 species
GAUGAACGCUGGCGGCGUGCCUAAUACAUGCAAGUCGAGCGAACAGAUGAGGAGCUUGCUCCUCUGACGUUAGCGGCGGACGGGUGAGUAACACGUGGAUAACCUACCUAUAAGACUGGGAUAACUUCGGGAAACCGGAGCUAAUACCGGAUAAUAUAUUGAACCGCAUGGUUCAAUAGUGAAAGACGGUUUUGCUGUCACUUAUAGAUGGAUCCGCGCCGCAUUAGCUAGUUGGUAAGGUAACGGCUUACCAAGGCAACGAUGCGUAGCCGACCUGAGAGGAUGAUCGGCCACACUGGAACUGAGACACGGUCCAGACUCCUACGGGAGGCAGCAGUUGGGAAUCUUCCGCAAUGGGCGAAAGCUUGACGGAGCAACGCCGCGUGAGUGAUGAAGGUCUUCGGAUCGUAAAACUCUGUUAUUAGGGAAGAACAAAUGUGUAAGUAACUAUGCACGUCUUGACGGUACCUAAUCAGAAAGCCACGGCUAACUACGUG